AUACGGAGGGUGCAAGCGUUGUUCGGAAUUAUUGGGCGUAAAGGGUGCGCAGGCGGCCAUUUAAGUCAGAUGUGAAAGGCUACGGCUUAACCGUAGUUAGCAUUUGAAACUAGAAGGCUUGAGUGCAGUAGAGGAGAGUGGAAUUCCUAGUGUAGCGGUGAAAUGCGUAGAUAUUAGGAGGAACACCAGUGGCGAAGGCGACUCUCUGGACUGCAACUGACGCUGAGGCACGAAAGCGUGGGUAGCGAACAGGAUUAGAUACCCUGGUAGUCCACGCCGUAAACGAUGAGUGCUAGGUGUUGGAGGAGACAUCCUUCAGUGCCGGAGCUAACGCAUUAAGCACUCCGCCUGGGGAGUACGUACGCAAGUAUGAA
rnacentral:rRNA from 1 species